rnacentral:lncRNA from 1 species
CUAUAUUAACUAUGCUGGAAUGGAUGAGAAAAAAGAUAAUGAAAAGGAUGGUUAAUAGAAGACAAAAAGCUCAAGCUUGGGAAACAACAAUACCUGGAAGAAUUUAUGCAAAGAUGAUGAAGAAUUUGCAAAUAGGAAGUGCAAAUUCAGUUUGUCGAGCAAGUGAAUGGUUGUACGAAGUGGAUGAUAUGGGUAGGACUUACAUCGUUGACCUUGAACAUCAUGUUUGUGACUGUGGCUACUGGCAAUUGAGUGGCAUUCCAUGUGUCCAUGCCAUGCCUUGCAUUCUACAAGCAAAAAAGGAUAAUUCACAAUUCAUACAUGGUUGGCUGAAGCAGGAUAGUUACUUGGCCACAUAUUCUGGAUUGAUUCACCCGAUUCCAGAUAAGACAUCAUGGCCAAUAACUGAUGGUGAUGAUAUAUUGCCACCACUACUCAGAAGGCCUCCUGGAAGACCAAAGAAAAAUAGGAGGAGAGAAACUGAUGAAGUGCCAGUGGAGAAAAGAAGAUAUAGAAUGCAAUGCAAGCACUGCAAAGAGUUCAGACACAACAAGAGAGGAUGCCCUGUUAAUCCUCAAAAUGCGAACAAAAGGACUAGACAUUAUAAGGUAAAAGUAAAUACUUCUAUGAGAAGCUUCACUGUUGUAACUUUAUAUGAAAACCAUCACAUGUGCUCCAUAUUAUAACUAUACUUAUAUGUUGUUUAUUUUUUGUGCUUUGUUUUAUUUGUUUUAUCACAGAACAAUCUGAAAAGUUAUGUUUCCAGAACAGGAGCAGAAUUGACAAGUAAGACACUUUACCUCAUGCUCCAAUGACAUUGAAUUUGACUUUCACAGUAAAAGCACAUGUGCAUUCAUCAUGAAUAUUGUUAUAUAAUUACUUGAGAGUGUAAAGUUAGAUAAAUAGUAUCUCUUAUGUCCAAAAUGCAGUGUUGUUGCUGUGAUUUUCAUAGUGAAAGCACAUGUAUCUAGCCGUUAUUUUAGAUUAAUUUAUAUUGUAAUAUGAUAUAAAUAUUUUAUUUUAGGUGUAUAAGGCAGUGACAAUGCUAUAAAUGAUAGUCAUAGCUAGUCACAUGAAAAUAUCCAAGUUUCAAAGAAAAGAAAAAUGGUUAGUGAGGCUGGCAUUUUUGGUGCUAGAGAAGUAGUGAAUAUGCAUAUUACAGAGAGUGGGUCUACUACUGUUUCGUUAGGGAUGCAAGGGAAAAAGAUAGUAACAGCUACUGGAAUGAUGCUGAAAAGGAAUGAUGGUGUAAAAUUAGGUAUUAGAAGGAAGGACAAAGGGAAGGCACCUGCCUUCCCACCAUAGAGGGUAAGAGCUUAUAUCCAUUUUUAACCACAUUAACUUAAUUUAUUUCAGGUAUAAGUAACUAUAACCAUUGUAAUGUCCUAUUUUGGUAUGCAGUAAAUGUUGAACACUGGUGGAUAUAUUGGCAGCAAUAUUUUUGAUUAACAACUACUGAAGGUACACAUCUAAUUUUUUUAUAAUGAAGACGAUAAUCAAUUAAAGGUUGUUACUCUCAUAUCUAAUCUAGGGUAUGUGCCUUCCGAUGCCAGUGAUGGUGAUUGUAUUCUUUCUGAUUGUGAAAGUGAUGACAAUGAGUUUGGUGUCAAUUCUGAUAAUGAGCAUGAUGAUGUAUUUUGUAUAAUGGAUGCUGAUAUGAGAGCAAAUUUAUAUAUUCCUAGUCAUACACCUGUGAUAUUCAGAGUUGGGCUGUAUUUCAAGAACUUUACAAAAUUGGCAUGGGCAGUGAGACAACAUGCUGUGGAGAAUAGGUUUAAAACUUAUAGGCACAAGUUUGAAAAGACAAGAAUCACUGUUGGGUGUGAGUACUACAAGUGCCCAUGGUUUUUACAUGCUACGAAAACUAGAUUCGGAGCAAUGUUCAUGGUGAAAAGGCAUAAUGAUUUGCAUACUUGUGUUAGAUUGCUGAAGAAUCCUGAAUGCACUGCAGAGUUCAUUGCAUGGAGAUUUGAAAAUGCUAUCAUUGACCAUCCAGAGAUUAAUGUUAAUUUCAUACAAUCUGAGUUGAGGAGAAUGUAUGGGAUUAAGGUUGGCAAAACUAAACUUUAUAGGGCAAAGAAAAAGGCUUUAGAAACAAAAUGUGCAGAUCAUGAAUCUAGUUAUAGGCUUAUUAGAUCUUAUGCGCAACAAAUUCUUAGCAAGAUGCCACAAUCAUUGGCCCUGGUUAGUGUAGUGAGAUACAAUGAUAAUGAGGCAGCUACUCAUUUUGACAAGUUUGUGCUAUCAUUUCCAGCAGUUAGAGAUGGCUUUAACAGUGGAUGUAGACCCUUUAUUGGCAUAGAUGGAUGUCAUUUAAAGGGUCCUUAUAAGGGUAUCCUUCUCUCAGCAGUAGCACUUGAUGCCAAUAACAGUAUAUUCCCACUCGCUGUUUGUAUCUGUGGCGUUGAGAAUACAGUUACUUGGACUUGGUUUCUAGGCCAUUUAAAGACAUUUAUAGGGGAUACAAGGCAAUUGACCAUCAUGUGUGAUCGCCAAAAAGCAAUUCAGAAUGCAUUGGCACUUGAGAUUCCUAAUGCUCAUGUGAGAUAUUGUGGCAGACAUAUAUUAUCGAAUCUAAAAGCUAAGCACCCUUUGAUGUUGCUGUUUAUGAAACACUAAGAAAACUACCAGCAAAGUAUUGGUCGCAACAUGCAUUCGAUAACCAGUGCAAGACAGAUCAUGUCACCAAUAACAUGACAGAGUCUUUUAAUGCAUGGCUUGGAGUACAAAGAAACCUACCUAUAUUAACUAUGCUGGAAUGGAUGAGAAAAAAGAUAAUGAAAAGGAUGGUUAAUAGAAGACAAAAAGCUCAAGCUUGGGAAACAACAAUACCUGGAAGAAUUUAUGCAAAGAUGAUGAAGAAUUUGCAAAUAGGAAGUGCAAAUUCAGUUUGUCGAGCAAGUGAAUGGUUGUACGAAGUGGAUGACAGGGGUAGGACUUACAUCGUUGACCUUGAACAUCAUGUUUGUGACUGUGGCUACUGGCAAUUGAGUGGCAUUCCAUGUGUCCAUGCCAUGCCUUGCAUUCUACAUACAAAAAAGGAUAAUUCACAAUUCAUACAUGGUUGGCUGAAGCAGGAUAGUUACUUGGCCACAUAUUCUGGAUUGAUUCACCUGAUUCCAGAUAAGACAUCAUGGCCAAUAGCUGAUGGUGAUGAUAUAUAGCCACCACUACUCAGAAGGCCUCCUGGAAGACCAAAGAAAAAUAGGAGGAGAGAAACUGAUGAAGUGCCA